UAGGGAAUCUUCCGCAAUGGACGCAAGUCUGACGGAGCAACGCCGCGUGAGUGAAGAAGGAUUUCGGUUCGUAAAACUCUGUUGUUAGAGAAGAACAGCGCAUAGAGUAACUGUUAUGCGUGUGACGGUAUCUAACCAGAAAGCCACGGCUAACUACGUGCCAGCAGCCGCGGUAAUACGUAGGUGGCAAGCGUUGUCCGGAUUUAUUGGGCGUAAAGCGAGCGCAGGCGGUCAAUUAAGUCUGAUGUGAAAGCCCCCGGCUCAACCGGGGAGGGUCAUUGGAAACUGGUUGACUUGAGUGCAGAAGAGGAGGAUGGAAUUCCAUGUGUAGCGGUGAAAUGCGUAGAUAUAUGGAGAAACACCAGUGGCGAAGGCGACUCUCUGGUCUGUAACUGACACGGAAGUUCGAAAGCGUGGGUAGCAAACAGG
rnacentral:rRNA from 1 species